GCUAAAUUGUGAAUGUUUAGAAAUUCAAAGUGAAUUUUAAAUUGUGGGUUUCAUUCAAAAUUUUAUAUCCAUGAUAUUCCUUCAAAAUCGAAUGUUUAGUGAAUCGCCCACCACAUAGCUUGUUCCAACAUGGAACAUUUUCCUUCAUAGGUGUCCUGAACAGAUCUGUCCAAAACAGGUGUUAUAUAAAGUUUAAACAGUCACAAAUGCUUUCCUACAUUUAC